rnacentral:rRNA from 1 species
CAGUAGCCGCGGUAAAACGAAGGGUGCAAGCGUUACUCGGAAUUACUGGGCGUAAAGCGUGCGUAGGUGGUGGUUUAAGUCCGUUGUGAAAGCCCUGGGCUCAACCUGGGAAUUGCAGUGGAUACUGGGUCACUGGAGUGUGGUAGAGGAUAGUGGAAUUUCCGGUGUAGCAGUGAAAUGCGUAGAGAUCGGAAGGAACAUCUGUGGCGAAGGCGACUAUCUGGGCCAACACUGACACUGAGGCACGAAAGCGUGGGGAGCAAACAGGAUUAGAUACCCGCGUAGUCCCUGUCUCUUAUAC